AACGAACGCUGGCGGCGCGCCUAAUACAUGCAAGUCGAGCGAGAAGACGUAGCAAUACGUUUGUAAAGCGGCGAACGGGUGAGGAAUACAUGGGUAACCUACCCUAGAGUGGGGAAUAACUAGCCGAAAGGUUAGCUAAUACCGCGUACGCUCCUUGGACUUCGGUUCAGGGAGGAAAGCGAUACCGUGGGUAUCGCGCUCUUGGAUGGGCUCAUGUCCUAUCAGCUUGNGGUGAGGUAACGGCUCACCAAGGCUUCGACGGGUAGCUGGUCUGAGAGGACGAUCAGCCACACUGGCACUGCGACACGGGCCAGACUCCUACGGGAGGCAGCAGUAAGGAAUAUUGCGCAAUGGGACGAAAGCCUGACGCAGCGACGCCGCGGUGGGGGA
rnacentral:rRNA from 1 species